rnacentral:pre_miRNA from 1 species
AGGCAAGAUGCUGGCAUAGCUGCUGACGCUGGCUCCCGGCUGUGCCAGCAACCUGCCCUC